AUUGAACGCUGGCGGCAGGCCUAACACAUGCAAGUCGAGCGAGCGGCGGACGGGUGAGUAAUGUAUGGGGAUCUGCCUGAUGGCGGGGGAUAACUACUGGAAACGGUAGCUAAUACCGCAUACCAUCAGAUGAACCCAUAUGGGAUUAGCUAGUUGGUAAGGGAACUGCUUAGCUAGGCGACGAUCCCUAGCUGGUCUGAGAGGAUGAUCAGCAACCCUGGGACUGAGACACGGCCCAGACUCCUACGGGAGGCAGCAGUGGGGAAUAUUGCACAAUGGGCGCAAGCCUGAUGCAGCCAUGCCGCGUGUAUGAAGAAGGCCUUCGGGUUGUAAAGUACUUUCAGUCGUGAGGCGUUACCGACAGAAGAAGCACCGGCUAACUCCGUGCCAGCAGCCGCGGUAAUAC
rnacentral:rRNA from 1 species